GCAUCACAGAAUCCAAGACAGCUGUUGCUUUAAUGGCAGAACGUGCAAAAUGACUGUUGGCCUCAACCACCCUUGCAAAAGUGGUCUUAUAAGCCUAAGUGCAACACAGCCAUUGUGAGGGAGCAAUGAUUCUGUAACAGUGCUUGUGGACUCUUCAGACCCAAGUUUCUUCACAGUGACAUUGCAUCUGCACAAUCAAACCUCCCCAAUGGCAGAAGACCCUUCUUGCUUGACAACACAAAGCAUCAAGUUGUACCACAUGUAGAACAGAUUAAACAGCUAUUAUACAGACUUCUUACAGAUUUCCUUCUACACUAAAUAUAAUUAAGGCAUUAUUUUACAUACAUACUUUAAUCAGAAA
rnacentral:lncRNA from 1 species